rnacentral:lncRNA from 12 species
ACAUUUUAGAUGGUCAGAAUAACUGGAAUUAAGAAGAAAUUUUAAAAUUCUAAUCAAAAAAAAGAAGAAGAAGAAGAAGAAGAAAGGAAAAAAAAAUAGAGCUAACCACAGUAGAGGAUCCAAAUACCUGUGCCUCAUGCUUCCAGUACCCUAAAAACAGCAACACGCCUUCCAGAGAUUUUUCCAGUUACUCUAGGUACCCAGUAGCCAAAUUGACAUGAAGUUACCACACCUUCCUUCACAUUUCUGCACCCUGUGAAUUUCUUUCUUUGGCUGGAUUUUAAGACAUCUUUGAUGGACGUUAUAUCUAUCAAGACUCUUGACAUUCUCAUCUCUUUGAUCAAGAAGAAUUCAUCACCUCGGUGGUUUGCACGAACACCACACCAGAUUAGUCCAGCACAAGGACAUGCAUGCUCAAGGACAAGGCUACAUGGAAUGUGUGCACUGAACCAUGGGAAUUUGCUUAUUACAACCUGUCGAUGCAGCCACUUCAGUCUUCAUGAGUGCAAGGCCAUCAUUUCCAAAGGCAAAUGGAGAAUGCCAGAAAAGUUAGAUCUGGUUGCACAGCUGGGACUGAAAUGCAUCUGCAACAGAAAGAAGGAACAGUCCAGGCUGGAGAUGUAGCAGGCUCGCUGCUCUGCUGUUUGUUCUACUGCAUUGAAUAAAAUGAAUCUUUUCAAACA